GACGAACGCUGGCGGCGUGCUUAACACAUGCAAGUCGAGCGGUAAGGCCCUUUCGGGGGUACACGAGCGGCGAACGGGUGAGUAACACGUGGGUGACCUGCCUUUAGCUCUGGGAUAAGCCUGGGAAACUGGGUCUAAUACCGGAUACGACUCCGCGGUGCAUGCUGUGGGGUGGAAAGCCUUGUGCGGCUGGAGAUGGGCCCGCGGCCUAUCAGCUUGUUGGUGGGGUGAUGGCCUACCAAGGCGACGACGGGUAGCCGGCCUGAGAGGGCGACCGGCCACACUGGGACUGAGACACGGCCCAGACUCCUACGGGAGGCAGCAGUGGGGAAUCUUGCGCAAUGGGCGAAAGCCUGACGCAGCGACGCCGCGUGAGGGAUGACGGCCUUCGG
rnacentral:rRNA from 1 species